rnacentral:rRNA from 1 species
AGAGUUUGAUCCUGGCUCAGGAUGAACGCUGGCGGCGUGCUUAACACAUGCAAGUCGAACGAUUGAAGCUGGAGCUUGCUCCGGCCGAUUUAGUGGCGGACGGGUGAGUAACGCGUGGGUAACCUGCCUCAUACAGGGGGAUAGCAGUUGGAAACGACUGGUAAAACCGCAUAAGCGCACGGUGUCGCAUGACACAGUGUGAAAACACUCCGGUGGUAUGAGAUGGACCCGCGUCUGAUUAGCUAGUUGGUGAGGUAACGGCCCACCAAGGCGACGAUCAGUAGCCGGACUGAGAGGUUGACCGGCCACAUUGGGACUGAGAUACGGCCCAGACUCCUACGGGAGGCAGCAGUGGGGAAUAUUGCACAAUGGGGGAAACCCUGAUGCAGCGACGCCGCGUGGAGGAAGAAGGUCUUCGGAUUGUAAACUCCUGUUGUUGAGGAAGAUAAUGACGGUACCCAACAAGGAAGUGACGGCUAACUACGUGCCAGCAGCCGCGGUAAAACGUAGGUCACAAGCGUUGUCCGGAAUUACUGGGUGUAAAGGGAGCGCAGGCGGGAAGACAAGUUGGAAGUGAAAUCUAUGGGCUCAACCCAUGAACUGCUUUCAAAACUGUUUUUCUUGAGUAGUGCAGAGGUAGGCGGAAUUCCCGGUGUAGCGGUGGAAUGCGUAGAUAUCGGGAGGAACACCAGUGGCGAAGGCGGCCUACUGGGCACCAACUGACGCUGAGGCUCGAAAGUGUGGGUAGCAAACAGGAUUAGAUACCCUGGUAGUCCACACCGUAAACGAUGAUUACUAGGUGUUGGAGGAUUGACCCCUUCAGUGCCGCAGUUAACACAAUAAGUAAUCCACCUGGGGAGUACGACCGCAAGGUUGAAACUCAAAGGAAUUGACGGGGGCCCGCACAAGCAGUGGA